GACGAACGCUGGCGGCGUGCUUAACACAUGCAAGUCGAACGGAAAGGCCCUGCUUUUGUGGGGUGCUCGAGUGGCGAACGGGUGAGUAACACGUGAGUAACCUGCCCUUGACUUUGGGAUAACUUCAGGAAACUGGGGCUAAUACCGGAUAGGAGCUCCUGCUGCAUGGUGGGGGUUGGAAAGUUUCGGCGGUUGGGGAUGGACUCGCGGCUUAUCAGCUUGUUGGUGGGGUAGUGGCUUACCAAGGCUUUGACGGGUAGCCGGCCUGAGAGGGUGACCGGCCACAUUGGGACUGAGAUACGGCCCAGACUCAUACGGGAGGCAGCAGUGGGGAAUAUUGCACAAUGGGCGGAAGCCUGAUGCAGCAACGCCGCGUGCGGGAUGACGGCCUUCGGGUUGUAAACCGCUUUCGCCUGUGACGAAGCGUGAGUGACGGGAAUGGGUAAAGAAGCACCGGCUAACUACGU
rnacentral:rRNA from 1 species